UUGUCCAUUGAUUCAACUUAAAAGACUUUUGUUCCUAACUUCCUAUUAGUCUAUUAUGGUAUUUACCAAUGUUUGAUUUGGAUUUACUUUCUAUACAAUCUAAAGAUACUUGGUGACUGGACGAUUUGUAAAGAUUUGGUGACUGGACGAUUUCUAUACAGUCUAAAUAUCAAAUAUUUAUUUUCUCAAAUUGCUUUGAAUCAUGCAGUUUUGCUUGUUUUAUUGUGUGAAUUCACUGAAUUGUAGUUGCAUGAUUAUUAUGAUUAUUUUUAUAUAUACUGUAAUUCUGUAAAGUCAAAGAGUGUAAUAUGCUUGGGGAAGAUGUACAUUCUAGCCUUCUAGGCUGGUUUUCUUAAGGUGUAAUAAGUUGAAUCUAUCUUUUUUGAUAAUGAAGAAUCAUAUUGGAGGUUGAUUAUGUAUUUGUCAAUUCAAGGGCCGAAAACUUCUGCGGUCACUAAUGAUUCAUUUUCUAAGCUCCAAUUUUCAUUGAUGAAAUUCAAGAACCACCAAUUAUUCAGACUAUCUGUCCUAUGGAGUAUGGACUCUAUAGUUCAAGACUUUAGUUCCUAUUACGGUAUUACCCUAUCCAACUAAUCCAAGAAAACAUUUUCAGGCCCUUAACGUAUAGCAGAAGCGAGAAUGGAAGAUGAGAUUCAUAUUGGAUCCUGUAUUUCAAGAAUUUAUUCAAGCCAAUAGCUUAUAUGUAAGUUGUCGCUUUUAGUCAAACUUGAAAAAUGUAAAAUCAUUAGCAUCAAUAUGAAUUUUUUUUAUAAUAUAUAACUUAGAUAUUUAAAUAAUUACAGCUUAAUGACUAUUGACUUGUCACUUGUAUAGUUAGAAAAUCCAUUUUGUAUCACUGAAUGAAUUUUAUAACUUAAUUGAAGGAAUUGAUUCGGAUAACUUCUUACAAUGCGACAAUGCCUUAAAUUUAAUUUUACUUAAAUUUGAUAUUGUAUAAGUUAAAGUAUCAUAAUUUUAUUUCAAUUUUAUUUCAGGCUCAUGAAUUGUGAUGGUGGAAUUCUCAAGGGUAUAAUUCCAC
rnacentral:lncRNA from 1 species